UACGAAGGGGGCGAGCGUUGUUCGGAAUUACUGGGCGUAAAGGGCGCGCAGGCGGCCUUAGAAGUCAGAUGUGAAAGCCCCGGGCUCAACCUGGGAAUGGCAUUUGAUACUCUGAGGCUGGAGUACGGGAGAGGAGAGUGGAAUUCCCAGUGUAGAGGUGAAAUUCGUAGAUAUUGGGAAGAACACCGGUGGCGAAGGCGGCUCUCUGGACCGUAACUGACGCUGAGGCGCGAAAGCGUGGGGAGCAA
rnacentral:rRNA from 1 species